ensembl:lncRNA
GAGAGUCAAAAUUCCAAAAGGACCAGGCCGAGUCACAUGGUUAUCUGCCCUACCAGAUAACAGGGAGUGGCCUAUUAAGAAGAUGACAAACUGCCCAGUGUGUCUGGCCUUUAUUUAUGGCAGCUGAAGUGCUGGAACAAGAGUCUAGGACAUGUGGCCUCACCAGGCCAGGCCAAGAGCAACUUCACAAGUCUUACUGGGAGUCUGUACAUUGUUUUGAAGUUAAUUAGAGAAUUAUCACUGGAUAGUUUUGAAUUUGAGAGUAUGAAAGAAAUACUGUGAUGGCAGCAUAAAGGAAGGUUGUUUGAAGGAAGUGGGACUGGAUAAAGAAAAACCAUUUAAGAUAGCACUGCAAAGAGAGGAGGAUGGCAUUAAAGCACUGACAGUUAGAGUUGAUAGGGAUGGCUUCAAGAAUUACUAGGAGGUAGAAUUCAUAGGACAUAGUGACUUCUGAAAUGUGGUGCCAGGGAGUGGAAGGAGCUAGGAUGGUCUCCCAGGCUUCUGUUUUAGGUGCUAUGUAGGUAGUAAUGCUAUUUAAAGACAAUAGGAAUAUCAGAAAUGGAACUGUUUUGCAAAAUGGGGAGUUUAGUCUUGGAUACUUUGAGUUUGAAGCACUUAUUGGGUCACUCAGUAGAAGAUGUACAGUAGAUUUAUGAAUCAGGAGCUCAUGAAAGAUCUGUCCUAUAAAAAUAAAAUUGAGACCCAUCAGCAUAUUGUUGAUGGUUGAUACCAUGAGAUUCAAUCAAAUUGUCAAGGAAGAACAAAAGCGGAGAAUAGAAGAAGAAUAGAAGAAGCACAUCUCUGACAUUUUUUCAAUGGACAAAGAAAAAGAUGGUUCUAGAAAACACUGAGAAGUGCUUUGAACUGUGGGACAAGAAUAAGAAGAAACUGAUGUAACAGAAGUCAAAAGAAAAGACAAAUUCAAGAAAGAAAACAGGACCAGUGGCAUCAACGCUACAGAGAGGUCAAGUACAAUAAGGACUAAUAAGCAUCCUUUGCAGGUGUCAAGGCCACAUUUACAGCUGAACGAGUUAGUCCCUAAUGAAGGAAGUGAAUAAAGUCUGUCUGACUUCAUACAGACCUGUGAUGAGUGCAAAUUACCAGAACAGAGACUCAGAAACCGGGCAAGAAAGACAUCCAGUGACACAAGUUGUUGGCAAAGAUAAAGAGAGUCUCAGAGGUCGGGUGUGAGCUUAUUUUUCAAACAUAUGCUCAAGGUUGGGGUGAAUGAAGAGAAAAGGUGAAUUG